ACUGUUGGGUUUCCCGUCUCAAGCUCUGCCUGGAGUUUUUUAUUUCUGUGUUUCUGGGGAGAGCCGUCUGCAGUUUUCUUGUCAUUUCUGACUGGUUUUAGUGUCUGGAUGACCCCGUAAAGUGGGCCGUGAAGCAAGUAUGUUCUCAUCACUCAAUUUACUAAAAAAAGUUUGUGACUUUUUUUUUUCUCCUGUGCUGGGAUUAGAAUCCUCCGUUGGGUGUGCUGGACAAGAGCCCCACCACUACGCUACAUCCACGGGCUUUUACCAAGUUUUGAGACAGACUCUCGCCCAGCCCGUUGGAUCCUGCUGUGGCAGCCCAGUUCAGCCAUCACAGUGAAGGCUGCAGUAGAUUUUGAGAUAUUCCAUUUGCCUUUCUACAAAGGAGCUUUCCUGACGGGAGCAGUCCUCCAGAGAGAGCUCACAUGGUCAGGUCUGGACAGACUGGUAGCCGGCGAUGAGUCCGGUUCCCCUUCGCUCUGUGCUGGGACUAAGCCGGACGGGGGAUCCAUGAUGACCGUGGACACUCAGCUCAGAAGCUGGGCAGCCCAGCAUCCAUCCGGUGGCAGCAGCUUUGCAAACAGGACAGCAAGCCUGUGGGCUGGCCUCUGUCCCUCGCUGCCGAGAGGAUUUAUCAUCUGUCUUUUCUUAUGUUGAUGUUGGAGCCAAAGUUUAUUGGUUAUAAAUGUUAAAAACAUAAAUUUUCGGCAGCUCUCCCCACAUGUCUGGGAAGUCCACAGUCACACCUGGACAGGCACCCAAAGUAGGUGUGGGGGGAGGGGGAAAUGCUGCUUCAGGAAGUGCUGUCACCAUGUCUCGGAAGGAAGGAGCACGGACCAUUGCUCCUAGGUGUGGACUUAGCAGGUGCUCACGUGGCCAGGGAGGACAGACUGAAGUGGGGGAGGCUUCCAAGCUGAGCACUGCCUGUAGGAACCUCUACAGGGGCAAGCAGGGAGAGCAGGAGAUUGUGUCUGGCAGCGUGCAGCUACACCCUAAACAAAGACUGGCAUGGCAGACCCUUGCUAUGAUAGCCUUUGAGUGAUGUGUUAGAUGCCCUUCCUCCUUGGCCAUGAAGAGACAGGGACGGAGAGCCUCAGAGGAGAGGGGUGGGUAGAGAGAAGCCCCGACAGCCCCAGCCUCUGUCAGGCAGCUAUGAGCCUCCCGAUCUGACUCCUGACUCCAGAGCCAAGAAUCUUCGAGAUGAGCCCCACUUCUAUUCGGUGAAGGAAGAACUCAAUGAGAAAUGCCGUUUUAGCAGAUCGACUCUUAGACUUUGGAACGAGACGACAGUCCUUGAAGCAUUGUGUCACUGUUGAGGUAAUAGGGAGUCAUUUGUCACAAAUCAAAGAAUUGGGGCUUUGGCCCCUGGCCUGCCACCACAGUGACACUCUGACAAGUAUCCCCACCACCACAGCUCAAGCAACCUUUCCAGACGCGCUCCACCCCUCUCCCCUUCGCCACCUGGAAAUCCCUUCCCUCCUCCGCUCUGUCCCUUCCUCCUUCAUUUCUUUCCUUGCCCCUCCCCUGUUUCUCUUCCUUCCUCUGUCCUUUCCCCCUUCCCUCCCCCUCCCUGACUCUCCCUCUCCCUCUUGUUUUCCUCCCCCCCCCUUUCUUCCUUUCAUUCUUCUCUGUCCUCAGAGGACCCGCCCAGAGGGAUGGACAGACUUCGAGCUGGCCCCUGCCAUACUCCUGGGGCCAGGACCCCCCAUGGUGGGCCAUGGGUAAAUACUUUCUAGUGAAGGGGCAGCAUCUUGUCACCAAGGGGGCUGAACCAUCAUUCCUGGGGUAGACAGGCACUCAAGCGCAUGUGCUCAGAGCCUGCUGUUUCUCCCCUGUGGCACUUAGAUCGUGGGCUUCAGGGCCCACUCUGAACCCACCGGACUUCUCCUCUGGAUGAAGCCCGCAGAGUGUCCAGGUUUGGUCUUUUGCUAUGUAUUGUAAUGCUAAAUAUAUCCCCCCAGCCCCCAGACCUGGUUACCCACAGGGAUGGGAGAAUUCACGCAUAUAUGUAACCUGGCUCCUUAAAACUGUUGGUUAAAUAAAGAUGCCAUGAACCUA
ensembl:lincRNA 5033426O07Rik RIKEN cDNA 5033426O07 gene